GACAGAGGGGGCAAGCGUUGCUCGGAAUACUGGGCGUAAAGGGCGCGUAGGCGGGAUGGCAAGUCGGUCGUGAAAUCCCUCGGCUCAACCGAGGAACGUCGAUCGAUACUGCUGUUCUUGAGGAUUGCAGAGGAGACUGGAAUUCCCGGUGUAGCGGUGAAAUGCGUAGAGAUCUGGAGGAAUACCGGUGGCGAAGGCGGCCCCCCUGGACGAAGACUGACGCUGCAGGUGCGAAAGCGUGGGGAGCAAACAGG
rnacentral:rRNA from 1 species